CAAAAACCAAUUGAGCGCAACGGUCCCCGAACCACACUCGGCGACUCCUAUCGCAUGCAUUUCGCUUCACAAAAACCAAAACGAAACGCAGAGAGAGAGAGAGAGAGAGAGAGAGAGAGAGAGAGAGAGAGAGACCACCAACGACGAUGCAGAGGGUGGCUGAGCUUGUGAAAGCCGUCGCUAGUAUGACGACGAAGGGAGCCUCGGGUAUGACAACGUUGUGCUGGAGCAAGAGCGUUUUUUCCAUGGCGGAGGAAGUCCCUAAACGGCUGGUCAUCAAAGGAUUCAAGGUUCUUCUCUUCGGAGUUCCGAAAUACUUCCUUGGU
rnacentral:lncRNA from 1 species